UACAGAGGGUGCGAGCGUUAAUCGGAAUUACUGGGCGUAAAGCGCGCGCAGGCGGCUCUUUAAGUCUACCCGUGAAAUGCCGGAGCUCAACUCCGCGCACGCCGGGGGAUACUGGAGGGCUGGAGACGAGUAGAGGCAAGCGGAAUUCCGGGUGUAGCGGUGGAAUGCGUAGAGAUCCGGAAGAACACCGGAGGCGAAGGCGGCUUGCUGGGCUUGGUCUGACGCUGAGGCGCGAAAGCGUGGGGAGCGAACAGG
rnacentral:rRNA from 1 species